UAUAAAUUUUCUUUGUCAACGAUUUUCAUUUAGCAUUUUAUCAAGUUAAUAUUUACACAUUUCCUAUUUGGUACUUUUCUUAGAGAUUUUAGCAGGAUAAAUUUUAGAUGCCAAGUAACAAAACCAUAUUUAAAGUUAAGUGCAAUAUUAAAAAUUGCAAAACUUCUAAAAUAAGAAGUGACAAGAUACAUGAACAUUAUAAACAUAAACAUCCUCAUGUCAAGCCAGCUGAUAUGAAAUUUACAAAGGUAGCCAUCAA